rnacentral:SRP_RNA from 1 species
GCCAGGAGUGGUGGCACGUGCCUGUAAUCCCAGCUACUCGGGAGGCUGAGGCAGGAGAAUCGCUUGAACCCAGGAGGUGGAGGUUGCAGUGAGCUGAGAUGGCGCCACUGCACUCCAGCCUGGGUGACAAAGCGAGACUCUGCCUCAA